rnacentral:lncRNA from 1 species
GCUCAGUCGGUUGAGCAUCUGCCUUCGGCUGUGGUCAUGAUCUCAGAGUCCUGGGAUCGAGUCCCAAGUUGGGCUCCCUGCUCAGUGGGGAGCUGUUUCUCCCCUCUGCCCUUGCUCAUGCUCUCUCUCUUUCUCAAAUAAAAUAAAAUCUUAAAAAAAAAAAAAAAAAAAGCUACACCCUCAUUUAGAACCUGAUGACCUAGACGGAGUCCCAUGGAAACGCAAAGACUCCUUUGGUGCCUUUAGGCCAAAGUCUACACUAAAAGCAGGUGUGGCCAGAUGUGGACUUACUGGUCCGGCCCCUCAGUUGAGAAGCCUUGCUGGAGCUUAGUGAUUGGCUGGAACGACAGCAGUUGCAACAAGACUUCACUUUGGCACGAAAUGGAAAUAAACCAUGGGCUGGGGAGACAGGAAGGCUGGAAAGAGGGAAGGCCAGAAAACUCAUUCCCAUAUGCACACACACCCCAGCAGACUCAUGUGUGUGCACAUGAUAAUACUUUUUUCCUUCAAAACUUGGAUCCUACCAAAUUGUUCUAUAUCCAUUUUUUAAGUUAAAAAUACUUUACAAGCAUUUCCCCAGCUCAGUAAAUAUUCCUAUAAAACAUGUUUAAUAGUCUCAUAGUAUUCCAAUGUGAACAUAUCACAAAUCAUUCGGCGAGUCCUCUGUUGCUGGGUAUUUGGGUUGUCUCCCUCUUCUUUCACGUUUGUAAGUAAUGCUGCAAUGAACAUCCUUGUACAUAAAUCUGUUCCUACAUCUCUGGUUAUUCUUUCAGGGUAAAUUUUGUUUCACUCUGAUAGCAACAAUAAACAACCUGACCUUGGA